rnacentral:rRNA from 1 species
GAUGAACGCUGGCGGCGUGCCUAAUACAUGCAAGUCGAGCGAACAGACGAGGAGCUUGCUCCUUUGACGUUAGCGGCGGACGGGUGAGUAACACGUAGGUAACCUACCUAUAAGACUGGGAUAACUUCGGGGAACCGGAGCUACUACCGGAUAAUAUUUCGAACCGCAUGGUUCGAUAGUGAAAGAUGGCUUUGCUGUCACUUAUAGAUGGACCGGCGCCGUAUUAGCUAGUUGGUAAGGUAACGGCUUACCAAGGCAACGAUACGUAGCCGACCUGAGAGGGUGAUCGGCCACACUGGAACUGAGACACGGUCCAGACUCCUACGGGAGGCAGCAGUAGGGAAUCUUCGGCAAUGGGCGAAAGCCUGACGGAGCAACGCCGCGUGAGUGAUGAAGGUCUUCGGAUCGUAAAACUCUGUUAUUAGGGAAGAACAAACGUGUAAGUAACUGUGCACGUCUUGACGGUACCUAAUCAGAAAGCCACGGCUAACUACGUG